UACGUAGGGGGCAAGCGUUGUCCGGAAUCAUUGGGCGUAAAGCGCGUGUAGGCGGCUCGGAUAAGUCUGCUGUGAAAGUUCAGGGCUCAACCCUGAAAUGCCGGUGGAAACUGUCGGGCUAGAGUCCGGAAGAGGCGAGUGGAAUUCCUGGUGUAGCGGUGAAAUGCGCAGAUAUCAGGAGGAACACCAAUGGCGAAGGCAGCUCGCUGGGACGGUAUUGACGCUGAGACGCGAAAGCGUGGGGAGCAAACAGG
rnacentral:rRNA from 1 species